CACACACACACACACACACACACACACACACACACACUGUCAGAUUUGAACGUCUAGAGUCUCUGUUUUCUCUCUCCAGUAUUUUAGUAUUCUAAUCCAUCACUGGCCUGACAUGGGGAUGCUGUCUCCCUCUCUCUCCAUGCUGCUGCACAUACACAGCAUCCAAACGGAAGAUAAAGGCAGAGCAGGGGGAAAAACAAACUCCACAGCAGGGAGAGCUUUAGCCAGACAGAUAAAGCGGCGGAAUAAAGCAGCGACGGAGAGAUACAGUGGAAGUGGAAGAUGUGGAAGGAAAAGGGGAAAAAAGGAAGUAAGCAACUGAAGAGGGAAAGGAUGAAUGAAAGGGUGGAAAUACUGAAAAAAAAAUGAAGGCAGGAAAAAAGGACGGCUGAAAGAGCAAGAGAUAGAGUUGUGUGUGUGUGAGCGUUGCGAUGAGUUGCGGCUGAAGCUUGAACCUCCCUGCUCCAUUUCACACUCUGUAGGUCCUGACGCAUCACUGCUGGAGAACACACUAAGAAACACACACUUUACCCCUUUUUUAAAAUUUCUGAUUGAGAAUAACACUUGUCUCCAGUCAUUUUCAAAUCAUUCAUACGAAUAAACAAAGAAGCACAAACACACGGUCAUGUCUGCUGAACUGUAAAUCCUGGAGCUUUAGCCCUGUUCUCGCUUCAAUGUGUUGAUUUGAGGAGUAUUAAAGGAGGGGUUCCCUCUAAAAUGAUCCUAAUGAUUUUCUUAAGGCGCAUUUGUGACUGCUUCUGUCCAGAGCUGCUAAACUGUAUCAUUAUGACACAAUUGAACUGUUUAUUUCCUUCCAAUGAAACGCCCUGAGCAUUACAAACUGGUGAUACAUUUAAAACAUUUCUGUUUUUUUGUGUGUUUCCACUAUGAAGUGAUAACAGUAUCACUUUGUUUCCAAUGAAAUUACAGUCAGUUACCUCAAAGAAGAAGAAUUAAAGGUUUUCUCACUAAAUACUUUUUGCUGGUAUUUCUAUAAAAAAAAUCGAAUAAACUUUGACAUGAUUUAUAAUAUCAUUUGUUGCAAAAACACAGUGUAACAGUAACAGCAUGUGUGUUUUUGCUUUUUCAUGGUCCUUUACUAGACCUGAAUCAAGUCAUCAGCCAUUAUUUGUAAAUUCAGUUGAAGUGUGUUCACGACAACUAAGUUUAUAUAUUUUAGAAUUGCAUUUAAGAAUUUUGUAACUAUCUGCAAUAGUUAUAUGAUUCUGAUGGCAUGAAACCCCAAUUGACCAGAAUUUUAAGGGUUAGUUUGCUGAAGGUAGGCUUUAUGAACUUGUUGGUAACAGUCCCAGUUUCUGUAGCAACAAGUUGUAAAAUCACUGUGAGCUUGUUAAAAUGUUAUUAAAUGCUCACAGUGGUGGAAACUAGCAGCUAGUCAGACCUACAGAUAAUUAUUUAGUUGACUUCAGCGAUUUAAAACAACUUAAAGGGAAAAUGUUCACAUUUGUGGGAUUAAGAAUAUGUUGGCAGACAUUUACAGUUUACAAUUUCACAAGAAACAGUUGUUAAGUAUGGUGCUGUUUAGUUCUGAUCAACAUGUAUGGAUUUAUUUUGGGUGAGCUAGCCGGCUGCAUCCACUCUGACUCAUCAGUCCACCAAGAACUGAGUAAACGUUUAGAUCUUGUGUGAGACUCGGAGUUGUGCAGCAGCAUGAAAAAUGCCAUGUUCCUAUCUAUCUAACCCUUCACGUAUAAUCUAACCCUUCAAGUAUAAUCAAAUAUCAUCUAGUUGUUUGUUUAAAAAUAGAAAUAUUUUUUUAGGUUCUGCUAAAAUAUUUUAUAUCGAAACCCUCUUGAAUAUUAUAUGGCUCAAAUAUUAUAAUUUUCAUUUGUUGUAAUAUUGAUUCUGUUAUAUAGUCAAAUAUAUGCAGAGACAAAACACUGGUUUAUGAUUUGCAAAGUCAGCUCUUUCAUGUAUACAAGAAAGCAGUUUAUUUAUUCAUAUCUAGAUAAAGAUUAAACAAUUUCUUUAGUCUCGAGAAGUGAGAUGAAAGAUAUUGUGAUUUGGAUGAAAGAUCUACAAAAAGAGAAUUAUGCAGUAGUUUGUAAGUAAGAUGAGUUUUAAUAGAGGACAAGCGUGUCUCUUUUCUUCUGUUCUUUGAAAAACCUUUUUGUGUGCAUUCGUACACGGUGAUGUUAGAAGGUUAAGUGGCCAGGUUAUCUGCCCCAGCCUGCAGUAGGCUGUUUAUUUAGCCAACAGACAUUUUAACUCUUACAAGCACUGGAAUCAAAACAGAAUUAGGGGUCAGGUGUCUAAACCAUCUCACUAUUUGGAUGACAUUUAAGGCCCACUACGUCAAUUUGUUUAAGUCUCAUUUAGAAUCUUUCUAAUCAUGAAGAGUCCAGUUGAAUCUAAUUAAAAUGCAUUUCCAAGCAAUCUGAUUCAGGCCAUUGUCUGUCUAAGGAAACCAACAGAUUGAAAUAUUUAAUCUGAAAGAAUUGAUUCUAAAGAAGCUCAGGCCAACAGCGGAGAGAAACCACUCACUUUUAACAGGAGGAAACCUCCAGCAGAACAAGGCUUAGGGUGUGCCUUGAGCAGCUGGGGACUGAGAGGACAGGAAUGAGUGAUGGAUAAAACAAAGAAGCCAAAACAUGUGCAAAAUGACUUAAUGAAUUGCUGCAUUCUUCAAAAAAUUCUCCAAAGGGCACCGCAUGAAUCUAAAAGCAUCAGGCAGAUCUAAUUCAUAUCCAAGAUUAUUUUCUGUGAUAGUGAUCAUUAUUCAAAGACAACUAGACCUCAGUGAAGCAUGUUUUUCCCCAAGCAAUAGCGGCUGUGGACACAAGUCAUAAUAAGCGCCUUAGAAAAAUAAAAUAAAUGCAUACUUAAGAGUGAUGUUAAAACCAAGUCUAAAGAUUGUUAGUAUUAAAUAUUUGUCAUUACUGCUCCUACUGAAAUGAGACUGUGGCAGUAAAACCAGAGAAUGUAUUGUGACCUGUAUUUGGUAUGAAUGGGGAAUUUUUGGGGUUAAAUUGUCGACCACUGUUGUACGGUUUAUUUUAGCUCAGUUUUUAAUGUCAUCCCAUCUGUUAGAAACAAAACACUUCAACAUGCAUUCAGCUUAGUGGAACAGCAGUUUAAAGUAUCUGUCAUGCAAUCUAUGUUAUUAAUUCAGACAAAGGUUUAUGUAAAACCGAGGAUUGUGUGUUUUGUCUUGUCAUUCAUUCAUUAGCAGUUUUGGCAGUAGAUUUAUAUAUUCUCACACCUAGAAGAAUAUUUUGCUGCUAAUGGACUCUCCAUUCAUCUCAUGUUGACAUGCUGAGUGGGAUCCGUUUUGAAUAUUUAAAGAGAAAGCAAAGGAAAUGAUGGGGAGCUCCUGGAAGGCACCCCUUCAGACCCAUGGACACCUGAUACACCUCCUGAACUCUAUAAAAGACUCCUUCCUUCAUCACACAAGGAUAGCUUUUGAUAUCUCUGCUUGGUGUUUUUGUUUCUUUAGCUGAAUGUUUUUCUUCUCCAGCUGUAACAGAUGCACAAUCCUUUUACUGUCUGCAAUUCGUCGCCAUGGAUACCUGUGUCUCACCUAGGCUGCUGCACCCCGGGUGAUCCCAAAAGCUCUUAUCCCGGCAGGUGCCUGGCUGAAUGGGACAUCAUCGCCGUGGAGAUUGAAACGAUGACACGGGCGCGCACACACAUACACACCAGCCCAGACAGUUGCCGACUUGGAAAUGAGGCUGGCUUUCAUGAGCGAGCGGCUGUGCAGUCUGAUGAGUUGUCUCUCUGAAAUGGAGACAGCCGUGCGGAUUGAGCUGUCGCCGGAGGGGAACUCUGUAAAAAUGUACAAAACUCCCCCUCUGUCUGAUUCUGUCAUCUGUUAACCUUUCUUAAUUCCACACCAGAGCUGGGACAGACACUGGUCCAUGUAAAUGCUUUCCAAGAACAUUGAGGCUAAAAUCCACUGCUCCAUCCUCCAGCCCAUGUCCACACUUGCUUCCUGUCCACAGCAUGUCCGUGUACCUCAUCGGAGUGAAGGAGUCACAGAGCCCACAGGAGGGCUUUUCCCACUCUGUUCCCUGUUAGUGUGUUAUAUUCUCCGUUGGGCCUGUGUUUUUUGCCUGUUUGGACUGUCCAUGACUGUUUCGUAAGCACACAAACCUCAAGUGGGCGUGCACACAAAUAGCAAGACUGAAAAAAAAUAUUUACACGCUGGCCCCAGUUACUAGAGAUCAGUGGUUGGUUCUGAGCUGUGUUGUUUUAAAACUUGGUAUCUCAGUGGGCAUAUAUGUGGCCUCGCAUGAAAUAUUUCAAUUUCCGAUCUUCCGGUGUCAUUUUGCUCCACUGAAUGUACUCAGAGGGAAUAUGAAGCUCUCCAUGCCUCCUCUGCUGUGUUCACCUGUGAAUAAUAAAAUAAAUGUACAAGCUGACCUUUCUUUA